rnacentral:rRNA from 1 species
GCAAUAAACUAAUUAACCAUUAUAUACUGGUAGUCUCAAUUAUUUAAAGAAACUCGUUUUAUAAUCGUAAACACCCGAUAAAUUUCACUUUAUAAAAAAGUCUAUAUACCGCCGUUAUCUGGACAAACAAAAUACACAAUCCCAAAUCUUAAAAGACUCAAAAUCAGGUCAAGGUGUAACCUUUAAUAAAGAAAAAAUAAGUUACAUUAAAAAUAAUUUAAGGAAAAUAAUAAAAAUCUAACUAGAAAAAGAAUUUAUUAGUACAUAAUAAUUAAAAACUAAAAUAGAUUAAUAAAAUAAAGAUGC